rnacentral:rRNA from 1 species
UACGUAGGGUGCAGGCGUUAAUCGGAAUUACUGGGCGUAAAGCGUGCGCAGGCGGUCUUUUAAGUCAGAUGUGAAAUCCCCGGGCUUAACCUGGGAACUGCGUUUGAAACUGGAAGGCUAGAGUGUGGCAGAGGGGGGGUGGAAUUCCACGUGUAGCAGUGAAAUGCGUAGAGAUGCGGAGGAACACCGAUGGCGAAGGCAGCCCCCUGGGCUGACACUGACGCCUCAGGCACGAAAGCGUGGGGAGCAAACAGG